UACAGCGGUCUCAAGCGUUGUUCGGAUUCAUUGGGCGUAAAGGGUGCGUAGGCGGCGCGGUAAGUCGGGUGUGAAAUCUUGGAGCUUAACUCCGAAACUGCAUUCGAUACUGCGGUGCUUGAGGACUGGAGAGGAGACUGGAAUUCAUGGUGUAGCAGUGAAAUGCGUAGAGAUCAUGAGGAAGACCAGUGGCGAAGGCGGGUCUCUGGACAGUUCCUGACACUGAGACACGAAGGCCAGGGGAGCAAACGGG
rnacentral:rRNA from 1 species